GACGAACGCUGGCGGCGUGCCUAACACAUGCAAGUCAACGAGAAAGGGGUAGCAAUAUCCUGAGUAAAGUGGCGCACGGGUGAGUAACACGUAGGUAAUCUGCCAUCAGGACGGGGACAACCACGCGAAAGCGUGGCUAAUACCCGAUGAAUCGACGAUGCCGCAUGGCAUUGUUAUUAAAUACCGCAAGGUGCCUGGUGAUGAACCUGCGUCCCAUUAGGUAGUUGGUGAGGUAACGGCUCACCAAGCCGACGAUGGGUAGCUGGUCUGAGAGGAUGAUCAGCCACACUGG
rnacentral:rRNA from 1 species